GGGGAGCGGAGCCGUCGCCCGUCGGCUCGGAUCAGCCGCGUCGAUCGACGUGCGGGUUUCCCGGCUCGGCGACGAAGUGCUGAGAUAUAUUCCUGGGUUGUGGUGCGUGUAUUUUCAGGGGAUUUUUAGGGGUUUUGCCUCGCCUUUUUUCCCCGGCAAGGUCAAAUGCCACAUAUAUUAGCCUAUUCUAGUUUUUUAUACUUCUUUCUCUUGUUGUUUUGCCCUGUAUAAACUUGGAAAAUCUAUGAAAAUACACUGUGAGAAAUAAAUAAUUCUCACAGUUUCAGGUCAACAAAAAAGGAACAUACUAUUAAAUAGCACAAAUCCUCUCACAAUAUAGCACAA
rnacentral:lncRNA from 1 species